rnacentral:sRNA from 1 species
GCCGGGCGCGGUGGCGAGCGCCUGUAAACCAAGUUACUGGGGGGCUGAGGCUGGCGGACCGUUUGAGCUCAGGGGUUCUGGGCUGUAGUGGACUAUGUCGAUCGGGUGUCUGCACUAAGUUCGGUAUCGAUAUGGUGCUCCUGAGGGAGCUCGGGACCACCAGGUCGCCUAAGGAGGGGUGAACCGGCCCAGGUCGGAAACGGAGCAGGUCAAAGCCCCCGUGCCGG